UACGGAGGAUGCGAGCGUUAUCCGGAUUUAUUGGGUUUAAAGGGUGCGCAGGCGGAAGAUCAAGUCAGCGGUAAAAUUGAGAGGCUCAACCUCUUCGAGCCGUUGAAACUGGCAGUCUCGAGUUGGAGAGAAGUAUGCGGAAUGCGCGGUGUAGCGGUGAAAUGCAUAGAUAUCGCGCAGAACUCCGAUUGCGAAGGCAGCAUGCCGGCUCCACACUGACGCUGAGGCACGAAAGCGUGGGUAUCGAACAGG
rnacentral:rRNA from 1 species